CUCGCAAGAGUGAACUAGCUAACUGGAAUCACGAGUGUGUCACUUGUGAAAAUAAAGGGAAAAAUAAUGAUAUCUCCUUUUAUAGUAGUGUUGUCCAAACCUGGACUCGGUAAGGCCAGAGACGCAAGCGUUAAUCAUCUUGAUCAGGCGUAAAGGGUUUGUAGGCAGCUUAAAUUCAUUUAAGAUUGAAUCAUAUUGAGGUCAAGAGAAUUCUUAGUGUAGGGUUGGUAUCUGUAAAUACUAAGGAGAAUUCUAAUUAGCGAAGGCACUUUUCCAAUUAAUGAUUGACGCUGAGAAACGAAGGGGAGGAUAGACAAUAGGAUUUGAUACCCUGGCAUCCCUCCCUGUAAACGAUGAAUGGUAGUUGCUAGUAAAUAAUUAUUAGUGACGAUGCUAACGCGUUAACCAUUCCGCCUUGUGAGUACGACUGCAAAGUUGAAAACAAAAAAAUUAGUCGGUUUCGGAGCAA
rnacentral:rRNA from 1 species